GCCGGGCGCGGUGGCGCGUGCCUGUAGUCCCAGCUACUCGGGAGGCUGAGGCUUGAGGAUCCCUUGAGUUCAGGAGUUCUGGGCUGUAGUGCGCUAUGCCGAUCGGGUGUCCGCACUAAGUUCGGCAUCAAUAUGGUGACCUCCCGGGAGCGGGGGACCACCAGGUUGCCUAAGGAGGGGUGAACCGGCCCAGGUCGGAAACGGAGCAGGUCAAAACUCCCGUGCUGAUCAGUAGUGGGAUCGCGCCUGUGAAUAGCCACAGCACUCCAGCCUGGGCAACAUAGUGAGACCCUGCCUCUU
ensembl:misc_RNA Metazoa_SRP Metazoan signal recognition particle RNA